AUGAUCGCUUGGCCAAUUUUUUCCGGUGAAAUGUUGCGGCCAAUGGUAGUAGUCCGCUCGCUUGCCGUCCACAUAUAUUAUGGUUCGUGCUUCGGGCCUUCGACAACGGUAUUAUCUCUUACAUGCAGUCUCUACCUUCCCAUAGCCCAUGACCACCGAAUCCAGCUACCUCGCCUUGUUCUUCACCACAAUUCCUCCAAAUCAUCCGCUCCCAUGUCUCUCAGCUGCUGCUGGUUCGUGGUCUUCGUGGGGGUGUGGUGGCUGCCGCUGAUGCUCGUGGUGGCCGAGGACCAGCAGGGUGGAGACUGCUCGGCCCAGAAGUGCAGCAACGUCAGCAUCAUGGAUCCAUUCUGGCUCACUGACAAAGUUACGGGAAGAUCAUGCGGUUCUGCAGAUUCCUACCCGGACUUCGGUGUCGCUUGUAGCAACAACAGUUAUCCCACUCUGCGGAGCUCUAUACCCCUCAACAAUGGUUUUAGAAUCCUCAACAUCUCUUACGAGGAACGCAGCUUCCAUGCCGUUGAUCUCGGCAAGCUGGACGUGUUGAGCGCCACUGACAAGUGUCGUGCAGCGUUCUAUAACACCUCAGUCAAGCUGAACCACCGGUUCAAGAUUGCCCCCGUCAACCUGAACCUCAUCCUCUACAACUGCACGGAGGAGAGUGGAGCAGCGGCGGCGGCACGUCGGAACGGAGAGCUGGCGCAGACGAGAGUGAGCUGCGGGAACGAGUGGGCGGUACUUGCACGCGCGGGAGUGCCUCACGACGUGACUGGGAAGUACGCCGGCUACGCUUUGGAGGGCUGUGAUGCUUCCGUCAUUCCAGUGCUGGGCUCGUCGGCAGGGGUGAACGCGAGAGACUAUGAGCAACUCUUCAAGGAUGGCUUCCUCUUGACAUGGGAUCGUCCGCCUGGUACUGGUAAGCUCACAUACCUUACCGUUUUACUCCUUUCCUUACAAUGUGCAGUGCAAUCAGUUAAUGCAACUUAUUGA
rnacentral:rRNA from 1 species